CAGAUGUUUGUUUUGAGGGAUAUAACAUGGGGACUCGCAGCGGACUUUGAUGCCAAAGGCCGGAGUUGAAAUCCUCUUUCUUUCCCUACUAGCUUUGUGACCUUGGUUAACCUGUGUUAUACUGUGGAAGAUGGUUCCUGAGUUUAAAAGUCAGAGUCUUCAUCCAAGGACAGAGAUUUUAUGACAUUUCCUUUUCAUCAUGACACACGCCUUUGUGAUACCCCAUGAGUACAGAAUUCCAUUGGACACACAAUGUGUGGGAGUCCAGCAAGACUCAAAGUGAGUAUGAGGUAGUAUCCCACAGACCCACACCUGUGUUAUCAGCUAUGGCUAUAGAAACAGAAGAAAAGAGUAUGAGAAAGAGAUGCUAAUUUUUCUGAAGAAACUUGAGCAUGAGAUGGGAG